UGCUGGGAGCCACUUGUCUAAUUCCCUCACCUCCUGUGUUUGUUCCAAGAUCCCCUACACAUUGUCCUUAGGUCUGCUGAAAGGCGGGAGUCUUAGUUAACCCUGCUCUUCCUCUGUGACAUUGGGUAAGUCACUUCGCCCUUAUGAACUGUGGUUUUUUUCAUCUGUAAACUGAGGGUCUUGAGCCAGGCGUGGUGGUGCUCACCUGUAGUCUCAGCUACUCAGAAGGCUGAGGUGGGAGGAUCGCUCAGGCCUGGCAGGUUGAGGC
rnacentral:lncRNA from 1 species